rnacentral:tRNA from 1 species
UUGAUAGAAGCCAAAAAGAGGCUUUUCACUGUUAAUGAUCGAAUUGAAAUUUAUUUUCCUAUCAAG